UCUACUCAAAUGCAAAUGGAGGACUAGCAACAAAAAGGGAAGGUAAUAUAGCAAGCUGUAUGAUUGAUUCUAGUCCUUUGCAUGCUAAAGUCAAGACCCUUUCUCAUCAGUUGCUUGAUUGCACUUCAAACCUACAAUCGCACUUCAACCAAAGUUGAAAGGAAAAAAGAUGCCACUCAAUCCCCCUUAAUUAAGGAGACUUUUGGCCUAGUAGCUAGAAAAAUAGUGAUGGGACAAUCCAUGAUGUUCUCGCACCUUAUUCAUCUGUCCUGGUAUAGCCAUUUCUCACAGAAGCACAAACAUAGUGGAGGUAUCCACUGGGUUAAGAAAAGACUACUAACAAAAG